UGAGAAGCUUAACGAAUUUGCAAUUUUCGUGUCAUUUUAACUGGGAAUUUCACUAAUCAUAUGUUUUGAUGAAGAGUUGUGCAGCCGGUUGAAGAUGUGAACUAACCUUUUAUUUCUUUGUGAAAUUAUAAGAUUCUUUAUAAUCAAUUUAUUAUUUUUUUAUAUGCUUUGAUUUGGGUUUUUGAUUUAGGUUUCUUAUUUUAUUUAUGAUGAUGUGUUUCGAAAGGUUGUUGUUAAUCAACCGUAAGAAUCAAGCAUAUUUAUUAACCGAAAGAAUCAAGCAGAUUUUCGUCACCUUAUGCUCGUGUCUGCUUUAACAAUGAACAAAUUAGGUUUUCGUAAGUUUUUCUGGGUUUUGGUUUUCAAUGAAGUCAAUUGAAAUUAGGGUUUCGUAAGUUUUUCUAAUAAGGCUGAAAUUGGAAGUGCCUCACAAGAAUUUUAGUUUUAUUGUUAGGUAUAUGAUACAUGGUGAAUUUAAUGGAGACGUUAGGUGCUCAAUGUAGUGUAAUUCUGUAAUACAACAAUUAUGAUCAUGAAUAGUAUCUUCUAGAUGAAAAUACACAGUUUUCGUAGAAGAAUCUUUGCAAUUGGUUGCUCAAUUGUUUAAAAGUUUCUGAUUAUUUUUCUAAUUAAUCUAAAUCCAUGCUCAUUGUUGCUACUCUUCAUCAAACUAAACCAUUGAAAUUAUUGAACAAUUAUAUAAUACCAUUAUGCUUCAAUAAUUAGGUUACAUUUUUUGAAUUUUGUUUGUUCCGUUGAUUUGUUGAAUUUGUUACUCGUUUUUUUGUUUUUAUUUUAUAAAAUGACUUUUUUUUAUUCUAAAUAUGAGUUGCUGCUUGAGACCUUUAUUAUAGUUUUUUAUGAGUGGGAUACAUUGGGUAAGAUGAUGGUGAUGAUAAAGACUAUUUUUUAUGCACUUUCUAUAGAUGUUGUGCACAUAUGUUGUUAUUAAGUGGUUGUGCAACAAAUGUUGUUGUCGACAGGAGCUGUCAUUAUGUGGUUGUGCAACAGAUGUUGUCGUUGCUGCUUUUGAGCUACUACUAAAGCAGACUCAUGUUGCUGAUGAAGUUGUUCUGAAAAUUAUGGUCGUGAGCUUUAGAUUGUGAAACGUAAAUUAGAUUAAUCGUCAUUUUUAGGAUAAUCGAUGUUUAGGGUUUUUGUUUCUUUGGAUUUGUUUUCUACUUUCUUUUUUAUUAGAACCCAAUUAUUUGCGUAUCAUUGUUCUUUUCUUUCCUCUUUUUUUGUUGGUAGGCUGAUGAGCAUUGAUUUCUUUACGUAGUUUCUUCAUUUCGUUUUAUUUUUAAUAUACUACUUCAUUGUUUUUCUACAGACCUCCAAUUACAGUGCUACUUCGCCGUGCUAAGCUGAACCAAUUUCCAAUGGUUCAGAGAACACUAAACAAGAAAACAAUGCUGAGCCCAUGAUAAAGGAUAGCAACAAAAGCUCAUGACAAGAAUCCAGCAACAGCAGGUCGUGUAACAGCUCCAACAGGAUGCAUAAUCUCAGCAUCAGCAGAGAUAGGACGCAUAAAUAUUUUCCAGUCGCCCUAGGAACUGACAUAGAGCCAAGCAGGGUGAUAGAGGAAGCUGAGUCAUGGACUGGAAGUGACACCCUACCAUGUGGAGAUGACAAGGAGCUCAAGUAGGACUAGAGCAAGUUGCAUGAGCCACAAACUAAAGGAUCUAAAACAAUCCUGCAGGUCGAAGAAAUCCUUGCGGGUUGAAGAGAAGUCCCUGCAGGAAGAGAAUAAGACCCUGCUGGAUGAAAGAAUCAGGACGAUGCGUCCUGAAAAACGCGUGUACUAAUCUUUUCUUGUCUUUUUUUUUUUUUAGUUUUGUUAACCUGAUGUUCAGGUUCCCUAUUUCCCCCCCUUUUGUUCCCCCUAAAAAUCUAUAAAUAACGUGGUUUUCCUGUUC